rnacentral:rRNA from 1 species
GGUAACGGCCCACCAAGGCGACGAUCGGUAGCCGGACUGAGAGGUUGAACGGCCACAUUGGGACUGAGACACGGCCCAGACUCCUACGGGAGGCAGCAGUGGGGAAUAUUGCACAAUGGGGGAAACCCUGAUGCAGCGACGCCGCGUGGAGGAAGAAGGUCUUCGGAUUGUAAACUCCUGUUGUUGAGGAAAAAACGGAUGGUACUCAACAAGGAAGUGACGGCUAACUACGUGCCAGCAGCCGCGGUAAAACGUAGGUCACAAGCGUUGUCCGGAAUUACUGGGUGUAAAGGGAGCGCAGGCGGGUAUGCAAGUUGGAAGUGAAAUACAUGGGCUCAACCCAUGAACUGCUUUCAAAACUGUGUAUCUUGAGUAGUGCAGAGGUAGGCGGAAUUCCCGGUGUAGCGGUGGAAUGCGUAGAUAUCGGGAGGAACACCAGUGGCGAAGGCGGCCUACUGGGCACCAACUGACGCUGAGGCUCGAAAGUGUGGGUAGCAAACAGGAUUAGAUACCCUGGUAGUCCACACCGUAAACGAUGAUUACUAGGUGUUGGAGGAUAGACCCCUUCAGUGCCGCAGUUAACACAAUAAGUAAUCCACCUGGGGAGUACGACCGCAAGGUUGAAACUCAAAGGAAUUGACGGGGGCCCGCACAAGCAGUGGAGUAUGUGGUUUAAUUCGACGCAACGCGAAGAACCUUACCAAGUCUUGACAUCCU